rnacentral:rRNA from 1 species
GUGUCAGCCGCCGCGGUAAUACGGAGGGGGCUAGCGUUGUUCGGAGUCACUGGGCGUAAAGGGCGCGUAGGCGGUUCGCUAAGUCGGGCGUGAAAGCCCCGGGCUCAACCUGGGAUGUGCGCUUGAUACUGGCGGGCUCGAGUCCGGGAGAGGUGAGCGGAAUACCCAGUGUAGAGGUGAAAUUCGUAGAUAUUGGGUGGAACACCAGUGGCGAAGGCGGCUCACUGGACCGGGACUGACGCUGAGGCGCGAAAGCGUGGGGAGCAAACAGGAUUAGAUACCCUGGUAGUCCACGCCGUAAACGAUGUGCGCUAGACGUCGGGGGUUCGGCCUUCGGUGUCGCAGCUAACGCAUUAAGCGCACCGCCUGGGGAGUACGGCCGCAAGGUUAAAACUUAAAUGAAUUGACGGGG